rnacentral:lncRNA from 1 species
AAUAAAUCCAUAUCAUAGAUCAAAUUGAAGAACAGAUCAGAAAGAAAGCAACGAAGAAAGAAAAGGACGACUUAAUUUCAAGAGCAGAUGUAAGUAAAAAUAUAUAAGUAUAUUAUUAAGUUGCCAAUAGAACGUACUAUUACUAUAUGAUUGAAAAAGUGGAGGUUAAAUCAUCCCCUAAUAUUUAUCCUGUUGAAUAGGUAAAAAAUUGGCAAUUUAAAAAAAUAUAUAUUCAUAAUAUUAGGAUAAAAUAGGAAAAACAGGCUGUAGUUCUCAGAAAUCAAGGAUUUUGUUUUAUAAUAUAAAAAAAACUUGCAUGCUUGUUUGCUCUAUAUAUUGUUCCCUUUGAUUUGUUUGUCUUUUGAUGUGUACAUUUGUACAAGGUGUAAAGUAUUGUCUUUUUAACUACAAUUUGUAUUUUCUUUUGUAAGAAUCUUUUUUCAAGAAGCUUGUUUAAUGUAUUUUAAUAAACAUGAUCUAAGAAUAAGUGACUGUUGCAUACAAAUGUACAUGAAGGUUUCAUUUUUUCAUUUCAGGAUACAAAAGUUCACCUGACAACCAAAAGGAACUGCACACCUAGAGCCUUUAUCAUUCAAAAGAAGAUUGUUCUGCAAUGAAAAAUUCCUGUAUGAUAGGAGAUGGACUGAACUGACAGUUUCUGUUUUGUUGAGGAUAAAAAUCAUCAAAUUUUAUAAUUUUAUUUUUUGUUUGCAUUUAGUGAGACUUAAAAAUAAAUUAUUGAAAUAAUUUGAA